GCUUGGUUUCUUCGGGGUCUCGGAGCGUAGGCCAUCGCACGGUCCUUGCUUCCCGCUGGGCAGCCCCCUCCCUGGGAGCGCCCAGGACCCAGCGCAGUCCUAAGCCUUGUCAUCUCCACACCCAGCCCAGCUCCACUGCCCUUGGCCUCUCGCCUCUCCCCCACCCUGGCACCGGCUGCUCCCCGGGGGGGAAGCUCCUGCCACCCCCUCCGCGGCCAAGGCCGCCCAGGACGUGCUGACAGCUCGGCCGGCCUGCACUGCAUCCGCGUGUCCUGCCGGGGCUCCAAGACGUCUGGGCCACCUGGACUCAGAGCCAGGCUGCAGCGCGGAGGCUCCGGGAGGGGAGGCCCCCCGAGGUGCCAGCUGAGCCACGCUGCCAAGAGCUAAGUGCCGGAGGCUCCCUCUGUCCCAAGUCUGGGAUUCAUGAUCUGUCAGGGCCCCUGGGUCCUGGGCUGGAGGCGUCAGGGAGAGAGAGAGAGCGAGAGAGCGAGCGAGCACUGGGGGAAGGGAAGGUGCUUAGCCAAAGGGGCAGGGUGGGGACGGCUGGGGAAGAGGGGGCUUUUCUGGGGACCCCAGGGAGUGGGCUUGGCCCGUAGCCCCGUGCUGACCCCAGCCCCCCCACCGUCUCCCGCAGCCUCUCGGUGUUUCCUCAUCCUCUCCUGCCUCCAGCGUCUUGACCCUGACCAUCAUCACGCGGCCUUGAGCACUGCCUGCCAGUGCCCGCCCUUGUCUCCAGCCACCUCCCAAAUGAGACCGACGGGAGUCCCCCAGGAACGCCACAGGCCACCCCACGGCCAGCACCCCACAGGACCAGGGCACAGGCAGUGCCAGGAGAGGGCUGUGACUCGGUGUGCGCAGGGUACCUCUUGUUCGUCCGCACCGUCUCCUCCCCUGGCAUGGCUGGCCCAGGGUUCCAGAAGGGCCUGGCCAGGCCCUGGAUUUUCCUAG
rnacentral:lncRNA from 1 species